UUUAAAUAUUAUUUUCCAUCAUGGUCUAUCCCGGGAGAUUCGAUAUAGUUCCCUGCGCUAUAAAGUAGGACCUUACUGUUUAUUCAUUCUAAAUGUAAUAGUUUGCAUCUAACUCCAAACUCCCUGUCCAUCUUACUCCCUCCCUCUUCACCCUUGGCAACCACAAAUCAGUAUAGAAUAAUUUUUCUGCUCUCAAAUAAUACAGUCCUUGUAUCACUUAGUAAUUAUUUUGAUUAUGAAUAUUGCAUGAAUUAAUUUCAAUGACAAACAAAUAGAUGUUUCUUGUUCUCAGAUAUCAAGAAGACCAGAUGUAAAUAUUUUCCGACGUGGAGUUAGCUGCCCAGGGAUGCCACUGGGGACUCAAAUUCUUUUCCCCUUUGUGUUUUUUUGUUUUGUUUUGUUUUGUUGCCACACCCAUGUCACGUGGAAGUUCCUGGACCAGGGAUUGAAUCUGAGAACAGCAAUAACCCGAGCUAUAGCAGUGACAAUGCUGAGACCUUAACAGACAGACCUUUAGGGAACUCCUCACCUUUGUGUUAUGCCCCCUAUACCAGAGCUCUUGUCUUGAUGCUUGUUUCUGGUGGUUACCAGGUGGCCAUUGCAUCUGUUCCCUCCUAUGCAAGACAAGAAGGGAGGGGCUGAACCAUCAGCAUCUGCCCCAUCAUGUCAGGAGAAGCAAACCUGCCCCAGAGGCUCCCAGGAGACUCUGACUUUCAUCCCGGUAGCCAGAACCACAUUGUAUCACCAUCUUGAACUUCUAAGAAGCUGGACAAUUUCCACUUUGGGGAGAAAUGGAUGUGGACGUCACUCUAAGGGUCCAAGUGGAUUCAAGUCAUCGCAUCCUUCUGUAGCUCCAGUGACUUCCCGAAGAAAAAUUGGAUGCAUCCUGCUGGAAUGGAUGGAAGGUUGGGCCUCUGUGGCCUCGGGGUGCCCAUUUGCAAGUAAAGGAGUCAGACCAAAGGAAGUCAAAGGUUCUUAA
rnacentral:lncRNA from 9 species